CUGGGGAGUCGUCUAGCUGGUAGGACGCCUGACUCUGGAUCAGGUAGGGAUGGUUCGAAUCCAUCCUCCCCAGCCAG
rnacentral:tRNA from 1 species